CAGGGGCUGUCUUUUGCCUUUUUUCAUGUCCCCAGCACAGUUCCUGCCUUCAAAGAGAUUACAUGCUGGCCUUGACACCCCUCCUGGGAUGAAAUUUCUAGGAGGAGCCAUUCAAUCAGAGGAGAAGACCACACAGCAGAGGAUAUUACCAAUAAGUGAAUACUUGUGGUGGGAAUGAGGUUUCCAGAUGAAGAACUACGGUAUGGUAGAGAAGGUCCAGAGUGAAGCUUGAAGAGGAAAAUUUACUUGCCAUAGAAAGACUUAACAACAAAGAAACAAUGACAAACAGGAAAAUAAUCUACAUAAUGACUACUACAUGAAACAUAGCUAUUUGGCAAAGGAAGGCACACCUAAACUUUUUCAUGAUGUCACUGCUAUGUAGAAAUCAAAUCCCUCACCCUCGUCAACUGAUCAUGGGAGGAUGCCCAGAGGAUGCCCAGCCUGGCCAGCUGGGUCGGCUGCAACCCUGUGUUCAGACUGUUUACCCAGAGCAGGGAGCCAUCUACGCUGCAAGACUAUGGAGAAAAGACAGAAUCAUCUCUCUCCAACUGAAGGAGGAAGACUGACUGGUCUCGGCCAGAUCCUCUUUCUGGACAAAAGCCACUCCUCUGGGAGAUCUCUGUUCAGCAGCUCUUUAGUGGAGAAGGGGAAGGAAUCUCUCCAUGAAACCCUGAAUUUCCUGUGCUUCAGAGUUUUAGCCAAAGUGAUCACCCUUGGCCUUCAGACCUCAUUCCAUCCUCAGCUUCUUAGCCAGCUAGAGGAGAACCCUUGGCUUGUAGACUUCUGUCCAUCUAGGAUGCCCCAUUGUAGGAAUGAGAAGAGCCAAAUGUGAGUGUCCCCUUUUAAAGGCAUCAGGAAGAUAGACUACUGUGUUGUCUCUAAACUGAUGGAUGUCCACUGUUCCCCUCACUCACUUGGGCAUUAGGGCUUAAGGGAGGGACUGAAGCCAGGGGAGCUUGUAUUCAGGAGCCCUAGAUUCUAGAUCUGGCCUGGCACUAUGGGACAGUUCCUACCUCUGAGAAUCAUGGAAUUUGGGAGCUGGAAAAGGACCUUGAAGAUCACCUAUGUGCCCUGGGAUCCUAUGAGGUAAUGAAUGCAAACAGCUUUGUAGAAAAAAAAAGAGCUAUAAACACGAGACUAUUACUAUUAGCUAAUUUUGGCUAAUGGUUUGAGUAGUGACUAAAAGAUGCAUUUAGAUUCUCAGAAAAAGGAUCUCAGAAGAUGGCACAGCAAAAAAUCAACAAUGGUCAUAUUUGCCUGGGGCUUUUGUUUGCGCUUUCAUAUCCUCUUCUAUUCUCUCAUGCUCCUCACAAGUUGGGGUGGGGGGGAAGCGAGUAUUUAACAGCCAGCUCUUUGCCUCAGUCUUGGUCUCCUUCCUACUAUCCUCCCUAACCAGUGGAGGGAGGCAAAUGUUUAACAACCAUCUCUUUGCCCCAGCCUUGAUCUCCUUCAUACUAUCCCCCUGGUUAGCGGAGGAUCUUGUGAGCUUUGAAGGGUCCAGAGGAUUCUGGACUUCCCAUCUUCCCACUGAUAUCCUAACUGUCCCAGGAAUAGCUAACAACAGAUGCCAAGGAUAAACUGGAUGCGGAUUCUACGCUCUACAAAGAGCUCAGGAUAAAAACUAUCCCAUACCUAAGGGGAACAUUUUGAGGACUCGAGCAAAAGUUUCCAGGAGCUGCAUUACCUCUUUGUUCUGCCUAGGUUUGAACUCACCUUCCCCUGGACUCUGUAUUGUACUUGUGGGAGAUGUUUUACACCAAUUAUAUGGCUAUUAUAAAACAUUCCUUUUUAAAAGCUGAUUAAGCUGUGGCUGACUAAUUGGCAUCCCUUGA
rnacentral:lncRNA from 1 species